rnacentral:rRNA from 1 species
UACAGAGGUCUCAAGCGUUGUUCGGAUUCAUUGGGCGUAAAGGGUGCGUAGGUGGCAUGGUCAGUCGGAUGUGAAAUCCCGGGGCUCAACCCCGGAACUGCAUUCGAUACUGCCGAGCUAGAGUACUGGAGAGGAGAUUGGAAUUUACGGUGUAGCAGUGAAGUGCGUAGAUAUCGUAAGGAAGACCAGUGGCGAAGGCGAGUCUCUGGACAGCAACUGACGCUGAGGCACGAAGGCCAGGGGAGCAAACGGG